GACAGAGGUGCCAAGCGUUAGGCGGAAUCACUGGGCUUAAAGCGUGUGUAGGCGGAUGCCUAAGUACCUUGUGAAAUCCCACGGCUCAACCGUGGAACUGCUUGGUAUACUGGGUGUCUUGAGCCAUCUAGGGGCUACCGGAACAAAUGGUGGAGCGGUGAAAUGCGUAGAUAUCAGGAGGAACACCGAUGGCGAAGGCAGGUCUCUGGGCAUUAACUGACGCUGAGGAGCGAAAGCAUGGGGAGCGAACAGG
rnacentral:rRNA from 1 species